GGGAGGAAUAUUGGGCAAUGCCCGCAAGGGUGACCCAGCAACGCCGCGUGGAGGAUGAAGGCCGUAAGGUUGUAAACUCCUGUUAGAGGAGAAGAAUAGUACCGAUUGGAUCGGUAUUUGACUGUACCCUCAGAGAAAGCCCCGGCUAACUACGUGCCAGCAGCCGCGGUAAUACGUAGGGGGCAAGCGUUGUCCGGAUUUACUGGGUGUAAAGGGCGCGCAGGCGGGAUAGCAAGUCAGAGGUGAAAUCCUACAGCUUAACUGUAGAACUGCCUUUGAUACUGUUAUUCUUGAGUUCGGGAGAGAGAGACGGAAUUCCAGGUGUAGUGGUGAAAUACGUAGAUAUCUGGAAGAACACCGAGUUGACGAAGGCGGUUCUCGUUGGUCCGAUACUGACGCUGA
rnacentral:rRNA from 1 species